rnacentral:lncRNA from 1 species
CUCAUGUCUGUAACACCAGCACGUUGGGAGGCCAAGGCAGGUGGAUUGCUUCAGGGCAGGAGUUCAAGACCAGCCUGGGCAACAUGGCAAAGCUCCAUUUCUACAAAAAAUACAAAAAUUAGCCUGGUGUGGUGGUACAUGUCUAUAAUCCCAGCUACUUGGGAGGCUGAGGUGGGAGGAUCACUUGAGCCUGGGCUGUCAAGGCUGCAAUGAGCCGUGAAUUUGCCACUGCACUCUAGCCUGGGCAAGAGAGCGAGGCCCUAUCUCAAAAAAAAAAAAAAUACAUAUUUUUGGUAAGAAAGGUUAUACAGAAGGGAAUACUUUUGUAUGAAAAAGUAUCUUGUAUGGUAAAUUUUUGUCCUAAAGUAAAAUGACUGAUUAUUUAGGAAAGAGAGAAGUUUAGAACAAGUCAGAAAGUCCAAGCAUGUCAUAGACGGUUUGUGUAAGUCAUGAUAAGAUUUGUGAAGGGGAAUUCAUGAAAGGAAUUUUGUAUGUGAUUAAAUUGGUUACAGUGAAAAGAAAAUCAUUUAUAAAUAAGUCUUUCUAAAUUUUGGUCCCCGAUGUUAAAACAAGAUUUUUUUAUGGUAUUAAUCUGCUCUUAAUAAAAUUACAAGAAAUUUUACUUUUACUUUUAUAAACUGUUUCUUUUAAAAAGUCUCAGAAUCAUAUCCCAGAAGUUCAGCUUUUACUGUGUCUCACUGCUUUUUGCUUUUUUGAGGUCUGAGAUAAUUCUUUCCUUCAGCUUUCUCAUCAACUUUUUUUUUCUCCAGUUCUAAUUUUACUGUUGUUAUGAGCUAAUGCUAAAAUAUUUUAUCUUGAAGGUCUAGAAAAGCAAUGUUUACCUCUAGUAUAACUUGAUUCUGUACUUUUGGCUUUUAAAAUACAUCUAAAUUGUCAAUGUAAUCAAAAAACUAAUGCUGUUCCUAAGAGUGAGGUAAUCCUAUGCUAUAAUCAUAACCUUGAAUAUACUCUUCCUAGGUCCAGUUAAAUCCAAGCACUUUUUUCAUCAGGUUUGAUGUCCAGGUUAUCUAAAUGGGCUUCCCAUAAGCAGAAGUAGUCACACUGCAGAAUUUUUCUUUGCCUUUUUGGUAACUGUCUUAAGAAACAAGAUUGUAUAAUUCCUAUGCUGUCUUUAUUAGGUUUUUUUGGUUGCCAAAACUAAGAUUUAAAAGGCUUAAGGUUUUUACAUCAUGUAACCUUCUGUAUUGCUUCUAAAGCAUUUUCAUUAUCACUUUGGCUAAAUGAGUAACUAUUAUUUUACAAUGACCUCUGCUUCUGUUUUGAUCAAAUGUUUUCAGCCUUUUAACAUGUUUAAUAAACAGCCUCAAAAUCAAAAUCCUAAAUUAAGUCUCUGACUUAGUCUUAUUGCUGGGAUUUAUUAAAGUUAUAAAAAUUAAUCACUACAAGACUGUAGAAUCUUUUUACAGCUUUUAGUCACACCAUGAACUCCAUUAUCACCAUAAUAUAGUUUGGAUGUCCCCUCCAAAUCUCAUGUUGAAAUGUAACGCCCAGUGUUGGAGGUGGGGCCUGGUGGGAGGUGGCUGGAUCAUGGGAGCAGAGCCCUCAAGAAUGGCUUGGGCUGUCCCCUUGGUGACAAGUGAGCCCUCACUCUGAUUCACACCAGAUCUGGUUGUUUAAAAGUGUGUGGCACCUCUUCCUCACUGUCACUCUCUCUUUCUUGCUCUUGUUGUCACCAUGUGAAGUGCCUGCUCCUGCUUCACCUUCUGCCAUGAUUGUAAGGUUCCUGAGGACUUUCCAGAAGCCGAUACCAGCACUAUGCUUCCUGUAUAGCCUGCAGAACUAAACAAUUGGGAUAUCAUGCAAGCAAGGAGCUCCCUUACUCCCUGAAGAGGCUCACUGCACACUAUUAUGAGAAGACCCUGUCCCAACCAUCAACAUCUACUGCCUCCAGGAAGGAGUUACAAAAGAACAACCUUCACCCUUUAUCUCCCCUUAAGGUUAAGGGUUCUCUCAUAAGUAGAGGGGGAAAUGUUGGGGAAGCAGGAGCUCAGGAGAGCCAGAGUAACACCAUUUUAAAUUCAGCUCCAUCUUGAGACUAGCAAGGCACGUUCCUUGCCAGUCAUGACCCAGUCAUAAGAUAUUUACAGUUGAGGAAACAACCUAAAGAUACUUACAAUGACACACUCCUACAACAGUAGAAAGUCCAGAUGUCUCAAUACCCAUAACAAUAUAUGUUUUUGAGAUGAUUAACAUAAUUCUUUGAUGUAUUCAUGCACUAAAAUGUCAAGGAUUGUUUUCUUUAAAUCAACAGAAUAAUAAAUUUUGUCAUGCUGUCUGCUCACCCUCACAUAGGCACAGCUUAGUCUUUACAUCGAUAAGACCCCUAUGUAAGAAAAACUUAAAGACAGUCUGCUUGCUUUCUGAGGAUGUCCUACUCUAUAAUGGAGAAGCUUUCAAUAAACUGUCUCUUCUCACUGCACUCUGCAACUCACCUUGAAUUCCUUCCUGCAAGAGAUCCAAGAACUCUAACUCUCUCUUAGAGUCUGGAUCGAGACCCCUUCUCCAGCAACAGUAUCACAGUUUUCUAAGUUACUAAUAAUAUUAAUAUAUACUAAAAGAUUAUUAACAUACCUGAUUCAAGGUAUUUUUUUAAUGAUUCUUCAAGUGAAGGAACAGGCAGUGAUGGAAGAGAAUCCUGGUACUGAAAUGUUCGUUCUUCAGUUGAUUUAGCCAAUUGAUUUUCCAUGAUAAAAUCACAAUAGGAAACCUAAAGAAAAGAGAGAGAGCCCUCACAACUUCAAUCUCAUAGAUAGUGUUACGUAUCCUAGGUACAAUUCACAAUUCACUAAACCAGUAUUUAGGGACCACAGCAUAUCUAGGACUUGGUACCAGCUUUUAUGAAAUUUAUAAAUCUGUCAGAUAGAGAAAACCAACUUAAAAAGAAUGUGUAGACACAAAGUGCUAGAAGUAAAGAGUGAUCAGUGGGACUGGUAUAAUUAGUUACCAUUUAUUGAACACCUAGCAUUUGCCAGGUACUCCAGUUUGCAUUACAGAAAACAUGUGUUAGCUCUCUAACUUUUAUGUUAUCUCUGAAAGGUGGCAUUCUUUGCAAUUUUACAUAUGAAUAUAUCAAAACUCAGAAAUUUAGUAACUUACCUAAUGUCAAACACAGGACCCAAACCCAGAUCUGUUAAGACUACAAUCUUUCCCCUAUACAAAACAACAUGAUAGAA